rnacentral:rRNA from 1 species
UACGGGGGGGGCAAGCGUUGUUCGGAAUUACUGGGCGUAAAGGGCUCGUAGGUGGCCAACUAAGUCAGACGUGAAAUCCCUCGGCUUAACCGGGGAACUGCGUCUGAUACUGGAUGGCUUGAGGUUGGGAGAGGGAUGCGGAAUUCCAGGUGUAGCGGUGAAAUGCGCAGAUAUCAGGAGGAACACCAGUGGCGAAGGCGCCGCUCUGGGCCGUAACUGACGCUGAGAAGCGAAAGCGUGGGGAGCAAACAGG